rnacentral:rRNA from 1 species
UACGAAGGGGGCUAGCGUUGCUCGGAAUCACUGGGCGUAAAGGGUGCGUAGGCGGGUUUUUAAGUCAGGGGUGAAAUCCUGGAGCUCAACUCCAGAACUGCCUUUGAUACUGAAGAUCUUGAGUUCGGGAGAGGUGAGUGGAACUGCGAGUGUAGAGGUGAAAUUCGUAGAUAUUCGCAAGAACACCAGUGGCGAAGGCGGCUCACAGGCCCGAUACUGACGCUGAGGCACGAAAGCGUGGGGAGCAAACAGG